AUCAUUGGUAAAAAGAUCAAAUAUCAGAAUUAUUAUAUUCAUGAUCUGCUGCGUCAAAGUUGCAGAAAAUGACACUUGACAUGCCUAUCUUGGCAGUUCUUCAAAGUUUUGUUAAAAGGAAUAAUGUUGACCACUCGGCUCCCAAUGCAGGGUGUAAUCUCCAACACAAAAGAAGGUCUAAAAAUGGGGGUGGUUCAAGAAGCUCAGUGCUGUCGCUGGCAACUCCAAUGGAUGUGAUAGGACUUGUUGAUGGAGUGCAGAUGGUGUGGGAAGGGAAGAAGGUGGCAGUGGAAGGGAAAACAUCUGUUAAAAAAUGUUGUUGAAUAUUCAUUUCCAUUGUGCUCCUUCAUAUCCUGACAAGUGGGCAGCACGUUAUCUGGAUCAGAGGGACGAUGGAGGCCCAUUCCUGGAGAGGACGGGGCAGUGAGUGACUGUGCAUUGAACACCAAGAGAUAAGUCUCUGUGCCUCCUGCCUUCGUAUAUUGUAUAAGUACCUGAGCUGGUUUUUCACCUUUCUCUACGGUGCAGGUUUUCAAGAACUGGGAGCAUGUAGGUAAGCUGAUUUGUGUUAUUUAUUUAAUAAAGUGGAGCUGUGUGUUUCACUGUAUUCUUUCACUGAAGAUUGGUAAAUGUUGCAUGUUGGAUGGACAUUUCACUUUGUUCUGUACAAGUGACAAUAGUCCUACCAUUACUAUUACAAUUUUGAAAAUAUACUGAACCAGCAGGAACGUUUUUGUCAUUCCUAUUCACCAGCUGCUUACUGCCAUUUGUUUCCUUUUCGGGUAAUUUCACUUGCAGCUUAGAAUUUCACUUAAGCAAAACCUCUCCAUCAUAACUGCCAACGUAAAACUGCCUCAAAAAUGUUGUAAUGUUAUUGGAUUGGAGCUUGAAAAUUAGAAGCACAGAUAUAAAAAUGUAAGCAAGUAUCUUCAAUUUUUUAAUGGAAGGUGAUUGCACGUCUCCGUGAAACGGCAAGAGAUAAUGAAAUCCAGGCAGUCUGUCUAGUCGAGCUCAUACACGUUAACUUUCAUUUAAGACACAUACUCUCCCUCAGUUAUGUAAAUAUAAUUCUACAAACUUCUUUACUUUGAAUUUUGAGUUAGUUAACACCUAGCCUCCACUGGACUCCAUUUAAAUUGCAACUGUCAGGUGCUGCCUCAUUCAAGCCCUGGAUAUAGACAUGUUGAAUUUUAAGUCUUGUAGAAUUUUCCAGCCUUUAUUAGGUGGUAUCAGCAUUAAGAGUAAGAAUAAUAAAGCUGCAGGCAACUACAAUAUAUUGUCAUGCACCUUAAAUAAUGUGAAUAAUUCAGGUGACCAGAGUGGAAGAUGCCCAACUGCAGACAGACGCAGGACACACAGAAGUCCAAAAUCACACACAUUUAGUAUUUUCAUCACAGCACACACAACCCACAAUGCUAAGUCCUUUCUCUUUUCUUUUCUUUCUUCUCUGUCUCCUGCCGCCUCCACUCCUCUCCCACAAGCUCUGUUCUGUGCCUCCCGACUUCAGCUCCUUGAAUGGAGUGAGGCAGCCUCUUUUGUACUGCACCCGGAAGUACUCCAGGUGCUUCCCGAUCAUCUUCCUUGGUCUGCAGCACUUUCGGGUGUGGCCUAAGGGCUGCAGACCAAGGCUCCAGAGCUGUCCAAGCACCCCCUGUCGGUGGCCACGGGCCCCAGCAGGGUAGAGCUUCCAAACUCCAAGUCUGUGGCCCUGAUACAAACCAGGGGGGUUGCCCUCUCGUGUCUCAUGGGGGGUACUGUUGUUGACAUGUCCUCUCCUCAGAAGGGCAUCCCAGCAGUCUGCCACACCAGAUUCUUCCUCAAUCAACACACAGCAGGUAGGUUUGGUGCUCAGUUGGGUGGCUGUUAAUAAUUAAUACUUAUAAUUUUGUGGGGUUUUUUAGGUGCCAGGUGUUAGAUGACACGCUCAUGUCUUUUAUCUAAAUUAAGAUUACUUGCACAUACAACAACUGCACAGAACUGGAAGGAGUUCAUCCACCACUUCUCAGAUGAGUUCACAUUUGACAAAUAGUUGCAUACGUCAUACCAACAAUGGCAACAAAAAAAGGAAGUAGACCCCCUUACUGGAUGCAUACUGCUAAUAGAAAAUUCAAACAUUUAACAUCAAACCCAGUCAAUAAUAUUACUGACAUUGACACUGACUGCUACACAAUAAUUUGUAAAAAGCAAUAUUUAGAAAUAUUCUCUCUUGGCUCGAGAUGUUUGGCUGGUCAUCCUCUCACUGAGGACAGGAUUUUUCAUAUGAUGCACUCUUUUCAACGAUGGAAACAUGGCUAAAUCAAAUAUUGUAAGGUAAUAAGGCAUUGCCAUAGGACCAGUGCUUCUCCAACCCCAUGAGCCUCACAGUCACAGAUCCUCAAAUGAGUGUCUCCUUAGAAUUCCAAGAACAAAGCUUAAAAGAAGUGGUGAGGCGGCCUU